rnacentral:ncRNA from 1 species
UCAAUAGCUAAGAAGAGGAGCAAGAUGAAGGCUCUUAUAUACAGAGAUCGAUACAUUUGCUGAGAGUAUCGUUAUUAACCGUCAUCGACUCGCCUCAGAGCUGAUUCUCUGAAAUUAAGUAAGAGAAGACGAUUAACACCCGUUAUCGUGUUUGAGUUGAGCUGAUACUCAUAAAGGCCGUAUGCUGUGAAGCGUAUGGCGAAUAAGGGUGGUACCACGUUAGGAAAUAGAACUCCUGUCGUCCCUUGU